GAUGAACGCUGGCGGCGUGCCUAAUACAUGCAAGUCGAGCGAACAGACGAGGAGCUUGCUCCUCUGACGUUAGCGGCGGACGGGUGAGUAACACGUGGAUAACCUACCUAUAAGACUGGGAUAACUUCGGGAAACCGGAGCUAAUACCGGAUAAUAUAUUGAACCGCAUGGUUCAAUAGUGAAAGACGGUUUUGCUGUCACUUAUAGAUGGAUCCGCGCCGCAUUAGCGAGUUGGUAAGGUAACGGCUUACCAAGGCAACGAUGCGUAGCCGACCUGAGAGGGUGAUCGGCCACACUGGAACUGAGACACGGUCCAGACUCCUACGGGAGGCAGCAGUAGGGAAUCUUCCGAAAUGGGCGAAAGCCUGACGGAGCAACGGCGCGUGAGUGGUGAAGGUCUUCGGAUCGUAAAACUCUGUUAUUAGGGAAGAACAAAUGUGUAAGUAACUAUGCACGUCUUGACGGUACCUAAUCAGAAAGCCACGGCUAACUACGUG
rnacentral:rRNA from 1 species